AGAGUUUGAUCAUGGCUCAGGAUGAACGCUGGCGGCGUGCUUAACACAUGCAAGUCGAACGAUGAACCUCACUUGUGGGGGGAUUAGUGGCGAACGGGUGAGUAACACGUGAGUAACCUGCCCUUGACUCUGGGAUAAGCCUGGGAAACUGGGUCUAAUACCGGAUAUGACCUUCCAUCGCAUGGUGGUUGGUGGAAAGCUUUUGUGGUUUUGGAUGGACUCGCGGCCUAUCAGCUUGUUGGUGGGGUAAUGGCCUACCAAGGCGACGACGGGUAGCCGGCCUGAGAGGGUGACCGGCCACACUGGGACUGAGACACGGCCCAGACUCCUACGGGAGGCAGCAGUGGGGAAUAUUGCACAAUGGGCGCAAGCCUGAUGCAGCGACGCCGCGUGAGGGAUGACGGCCUUCGGGUUGUAAACCUCUUUCAGUAGGGAAGAAGCGAGAGUGACGGUACCUGCAGAAGAAGCGCCGGCUAACUACGUGCCAGCAGCCGCGGUAAUACGUAGGGCGCAAGCGUUAUCCGGAAUUAUUGGGCGUAAAGAGCUCGUAGGCGGUUUGUCGCGUCUGCCAUGAAAGUCCGGGGCUCAACUCCGGAUCUGCGGUGGGUACGGGCAGACUAGAGUGAUGUAGGGGAGACUGGAAUUCCUGGUGUAGCGGUGAAAUGCGCAGAUAUCAGGAGGAACACCGAUGGCGAAGGCAGGUCUCUGGGCAUUAACUGACGCUGAGGAGCGAAAGCAUGGGGAGCGAACAGGAUUAGAUACCCUAGUAGUCC
rnacentral:rRNA from 1 species